UACGUAGGCAGCGAGCGUUGUUCGGAGUUACUGGGCGUAAAGAGUGCGUAGGCGGUUUUCUAAGUUUGGUGUGAAAUCUCCCGGCUCAACUGGGAGGGUGCGCCGAAGACUGGAAGGCUUGAGUAUGGGAGAGGGAUGCGGAAUUCCAGGUGUAGCGGUGAAAUGCGUAGAUAUCUGGAGGAACACCGGUGGCGAAGGCGGCAUCCUGGACCAUUACUGACACUGAAAAGCGAAAGCCAGGGGAGCAAACGGG
rnacentral:rRNA from 1 species